ensembl:lncRNA
UACAUAAAUAUUCUUUUUCCAAAAGACAGCAGGUACUGCUAUUCUUGUCCAACUGAGGAGUAUUUAUGGUAUUCACUUGUUCUCAGCUACUUUAUUUCAUCAGCACUUCAUUCCCUUUCCCUGCCUGUACCUCUUUUAGUUGCCUAAGAGACAAAGCGUAGUCAAACACAUCCAGCUGUUUUACUUCCUUUCAUCAGCCACUGGAAGAUCAUCAGAAUGACAACUUUCUCCUGUGUUUUAGAAACAUUUGUCAAAUUUGUUUGCAAAUGUCUAUCCAUAUAAAGAGAUCAAAGCAUUAGCUUGGUCCCCGAAAGCAAUGAGAGUAACACCAUGCCAACUGCAGCUGGAAUUUUGGCAGAGCAUGCCAUGAGUCCAAGGUCCUGGUGCAGGUCAUAAGCUGCUGCGAUGCAAACUGGGCUGUGUGUUGGUAGAACUGUGCCAGCUCACCUCUGUCUGGACACACAAGCCACAGAAACUAGUCUUCCACUCCAAAGUAAGAAGGUUGUGACUGUUGCUGUUCAUCCCUUGGAAAACUUCAGUAGGCUGCACCAGGGUCUCAGAAACAAGUGUUUAUGGCUGGAAAUACACUUUUAGCAGCUCAUAUGAAAACAGGAAAACAGGAAACGGACUGAUGCAGAGCUAUUCUCUGCGGAUCUAUGAGGUGCUCCAUUUUAAAUCUUCUUCAUGAAAAUAUGGCUUCAUGAUCAGCUAACAAGUCAUAUCCAUUAGCAUCUGUCUUGCUUGAUAGCAUUUCCCCAUGCGACAGCGAAGGGUGAGGUAGAGGUAAAGAAUAUUCACCAUCACUGUUCUUUGUCAACACUCCACUGCUUUCAUAUUUCUCUGCAAGAUGCAAGUAGGAAGCUAUCUCUACUCUAACAGGAAAAGUUAAGGUACUGAAUUGCUUAUACGACCUCAUCUGUGUUACUAAAUGCCUCCAGACAUUGGCAAAAUGGCAAUGAUUUUUCAGAUAUUUGUUUCUUCUUCAUUUGAGCUCCUGCAUUUCUGACUUAUUUUUGACUUUGGGCAAUGCCUAUAUUUACUAGAUAAGGGCAAAUAGAUUGCCCAUAUUUACUUUGAGUGAGAGUUUCCUUCAUGCAAUAUUUGUUCAAUAACUAACUGCAGAGAAUCUUUAAUAACUUUUUUGUUCACCAAAUUUGAUCUAAAUCUAAAUUUUUGAUUCAAUUCAAUAUUUCAGUGCCUGUUUAUCUAUGGUAUGGCAAAUGAAAAUUAUAUGGGUUAUCAGAAUCAAAGGUGAAAAACAUUUAUAGAAAGGGUAGGGCCUGAAGUGUGCAGAACUGAUUACCAAGUUGUAGUUCUAACAAGUUCAAAUAUAACCCUUGUAUAUCCCUGAAAGUAGUGCUUGAGGUUGUUCAACAAUCUUUGCAGAACAAUGCAAUGCUUUAUAUCCAAGGGUGUCUUCUCUCACCUGUUAAGUUAAACAAGUGGGAAAAACAAGAAUGAAACUAACCAUGCAAGUGGGAUAACUCCUCAACUGUGGGCUUUUUGGAACAGACUUGAGACAAAGUGGUGAAGCAUCAGAUGGUGAAUGGCUGCUACCCAUGUUGCAUGAAUUCUGUGCCAAAUCACAGGACUUUGCUUGCUAGGUCUGUUGCAGGACAGGGGACUUGAUCAUAAUAUAUAAUAUUUAAUAGUAUGCUUGCAAAUAAUCUGAUAAACUGCUUUUGUGUUGCAGAUCUUUAGUUCCUAUGGUCCUCAGUAUGUUAUAGGAGCGCCAACAAUGCAUGCUUGGAAAAUUAUCUGUUGAACCCUCAAUCCAGCAACCUGCUGGGAGGCAUUGCCUUCUAAAAGCUUUCCACUACCUAAGGCAUGAGCAAGAAGCUAAAACAAAGGCCCACUGAAUUCCUCAGUCAUGGGCCUCAGCCAUGGAAAAUGUGAGGUCACCAUCUGCCCUUGGGCACCCUUUAUUUCAAGGGGUGUGCUAAGCAGCCAGAAAUACAGGCUUACAAAGUACCGUAAGAUUAGUAAGUGAAAAGGUUUUUUAACUGCUGUUUUGAUUCCAUUUUGGAGUGAUUUUCACUGUCCAAACCUUUCUUCAUCCAUUUAGCUGUUAAUGGUGACAUUUAAUGAAAUAGGAUAAAGAUCCUUCCACUAAAAUCAUGGUGGUAUACAACCAGGAUAGAAUUCAUUCCAUUCUCUGUCCUGGAAACAAGCAGGAUGGUACCAAAAUCUGUGGAAAUGCUUUUAGUUCUUUUAUUUUCCUUUUACGUUUCAUCCCAUAGUAGCAUCAUUUUCUUUCUCACUUAACAGCAGGAAUCUGAUACUUCUGCCCAGAGAGGCUGCAAGGAUUUAGUCACAGUGAAGAGCUACACUAAUAAUGGGGAACAAAACACCGGCAACAACAAAAGGAAUUCUCCUUUUUGUAUAAGGCUGUAGUUGCUUUAAAUUGGUGAACUGGUGGCUACUUUCAACUUGAACACGAUUUGACUUAUUAAAAUGCAAAAGGUCUAAUAUUACAGUUUUACUGUGAGACUGUGCCAUGAAAAGCAGAAGAUAAGCAUUCUGGCCCUUGACACAUUGCUGCAUUUCAAUGUCUUACCUGUCCUGCCUGGCUGCUAAGAUAGGUCUUACCCCAGCAGAGUAUAAGGUACCUUGGUUUCCAUAAAAUACAUUUGUUUAAAAUUUGAAUUAUGUUUCCUGAAAGUUUCACAAAGCAAAAUGGGUGUUUUGUGCUUCUGUUUUUUUCAUAGUGUUGGAUUUAAUCAUCAGUUUUCCUUGUGGUUAUCUUCAACACUAAAUAAAGUCUAAUGUCACCUGAGUCGUGUUUUGACACACUGGUUUCAGUUGAGAGGUAGGUCUUUAUUGUUUUGUUUUGUCCUUGU